UACAGAGGGUGCAAGCGUUGUUCGGAAUUACUGGGCGUAAAGGGUGCGUAGGCGGCCUGCUAAGUCGAACGUGAAAUCCCCGGGCUCAACCCGGGAACUGCGUCCGAUACUGGUUGGCUUGAAUCCGGGAGAGGGAUGCAGAAUUCCAGGUGUAGCGGUGAAAUGCGUAGAUAUCUGGAGGAAUACCGGUGGCGAAGGCGGCAUCCUGGACCGGCAUUGACGCUGAGGAGCGAAAGCCAGGGGAGCAAACGGG
rnacentral:rRNA from 1 species